rnacentral:rRNA from 1 species
GUAGGUGGCAAGCGUUGUCCGGAAUUAUUGGGCGUAAAGCGCGCGCAGGCGGUUCUUUAAGUCUGAUGUGAAAGCCCACGGCUCAACCGUGGAGGGUCAUUGGAAACUGGAGAACUUGAGUACAGAAGAGGAAAGCGGAAUUCCACGUGUAGCGGUGAAAUGCGUAGAGAUGUGGAGGAACACCAGUGGCGAAGGUGGCUUUCUGGUCUGUAACUGACGCUGAGGCGCGAAAGCGUGGGGAGCAAACAGGGAUUAGAUACCCUGGUAGUCCACGCCGUAAACGAUGAGUGCUAAGUGUUAGGGGGUUUCCGCCCCCUUAGUGCUGCAGCUAACGCAUUAAGCACUCCGCCUGGGGAGUACGGCCGCAAGACUG